UACGGGGGGGGCAAGCGUUGUUCGGAAUUACUGGGCGUAAAGGGUUCGUAGGUGGCUCGCUAAGUCAGACGUGAAAUCCCUCAGCUUAACUGGGGAACUGCGUCUGAGACUGGCAAGCUUGAGUGCAGGAGAGGAACGCGGAAUUCCAGGUGUAGCGGUGAAAUGCGUAGAGAUGUGGAGGAACACCAGUGGCGAAGGCGGCUUUUUGGUCUGUAACUGACGCUGAGGCGCGAAAGCGUGGGGAGCAAACAGG
rnacentral:rRNA from 1 species